GAAGAAUGUUUUCCUGUGGUGAAGGUGCCAGAGUAAACGAGUCAAAAAGUGGUGGAGAACUGGGUUAGCAAAAGGUGAAGGUGAAGAUCAUUAGAGGUUUUAGGGCUGGCUGUGGCUGUUCUGCUGGGUUUGUGUGGCUGUGCCCAGAGGGCGGAGUUCCUGCAUAUUCCUACCUCACCGGAGAACCUGCCCUCAACUCCACUGCAGUUUAUUCCAGACAGAUGGGACCCUCCAGAAAGAAAACCUGCCCAGCAAUCUCAGCAAGCCUUUCCGCCAGCAGGGUAGGUAAAGAUAAAGAAAACCUCCUCUACUCCCUACAGGCAAAUCCCUGUGAUGCGAAUUAAAGUACGUGACAGACUUCUGUCUACACAUACUAUUUUCCACUAUCCAAAUAAUAACCAGCUCGUCUGCAUGACUGAAGCAUAGUUUAAAAACACCAGUUAUAUCUGAACUGUUUGUUCCCAAAGUUAGGAUUUUCCUCCCCUUCCCCCCCAGCUCUGUAAUUUAAUCAGAGAACUAAAGCCAAGGAAGAGACACGUGCAAUGUUUUGUUUGGCUUUUUAAGACGCUGUGCAGAGCUACCUGUACCUGAAAGACAAGAAAGGAUGCCAGGAUGCUGUCGAUACUUUCUCGAGCAGAUUUGAUCAUUGGAGGUAAACAUGGGGUUAACUGGAUCAGAAUAAAUAAGGUGGGUAAGACUGUAUUAUAGCUAUUAACAUUUGCCAGAUGUUCGCAUUUCUGGCAGGUUUUCUAGCAAAGGUAGGUAUAGGUAUUGGGUUUAAGUAAGAUGGAUACUAUAAUGUUCAACUAUAGACAUUUUGUGAAUACUUAAUAUCCAAGUCAUCAGCUCCCAGGAAAACAACUUUCAGUAAAAUGUUGUGGAAAGAGAUAGAGACUGAAAUUUGUGGGGGAAAUAUUGCAGGUGUUUAUUAUUAUUAUUAUUAUUAUUAUUAUUAUUAUUAUUAUUAUUAUUAUUAUUAUUAUACUAAUAAAAUAAUAAUAACCAUUAAAUAUAAAUAGCAACCUGCAGACAACUCAAAGCAUCCGAUGUCCUCAGGAGAGACUGAAAGGUUUGUAUAUGUUUGGGAUGCUCGGAGUUCUACCCUGCUUUUCAGGUAGAAUUCUUUUAUUUACUCAGACAAAAACUCUAAUUCAAAUCAAAUGGACUUUUACCUUUAUUAUUAAUCAGCCUCAUCAUCAUCAUAAGCUUAUUUUUAAGGCAGGUAAAAGACUUCAAAGUGGGCCCAUAUGGGCUAGACCCUGGAAAUCCCACUGAAGUCAGGAUUUGGUUUGCGGGCGACUCAGAGGAAUACAUAACAGCGAUUCCUUGAAAGCAACCCAAAUGGAAAAUCAAACCCAUUUAAAAAUUCCCAUGUUACACAUCUCUAUUUAAUAAUUUUUGAAGAAUUAGUUUAAUACAGAUCAACUAUAUACAUAUCUUUAUCUCUCUACAUAUUUUACAUGAAUAUAAGUACAGAUGUGGGACCUGAUCCUCUGUCCACUGAUAUCAUGGAAAUUUUGCCUGUGACAUCAAUGGGAGCAGGAUCUGGACCUUUUAUCAUUUUGUAUGAGUAUGCAGAUGGCGUGAUGACAGUGUUUUUCACAUGUUGAUUCCAGCCUAGUAUUUCCAUAGUUCGAGUUAAAACUCUAGAUUUUUUCAACACGGUAAUUUUGUACCGAACUCAGGGAUGUUGUAGGUAUUAAGGCAAGUAUAUAAACUGACUUCUUGUCCUAAAUGCAAUGAAAUUUAUAUUGGGUAGGUGCCAUAGAAAUCGCUGUCAAAACGCUCAUAGAUUUCAGUGGCAUCAGGUUCGACCCGUUUUCCAAACAUUUAUAACUAAUAUAUCAUACAAUCACACAGGACUGAGAGAAUUAAAUCUGAAGAAUAUCCUAUACAGCGAGCUAUUCUUUAACAAACGCUGAGUUCAAAUGUUAUGAUUCCAACCAUUGUUUUACCUCCGCCACCGGCAUGAGGCAGAUUGCAAAAAUCCAGUCUCUAUGUAGUUUUACCAUCUAAGGGUCUUCUCCUCUGUUCCCUCCGCACCCAUUGGGGUCAAUGGGAGCUAGGGUUCAGAGAUGAAUUCCUGAGGAGAAAAGGAAGAAACAGUGUUCACAGAAUAACAAAGAAUAACAGACAAACAUAACAUUCUUUUACGUUCUGCUAGCCCUGAAUUGAUCCCGACAAAGACUGGAAACAAACAGUGGCUUCUUAUGUUUUCUAACAUUUUCAUUUUUAACAAAAAUGUUUUUAAAAUGUUUACUUUGUAUAAUACGCACCUACACCGUUCGUCCAAUUGUUUAGGUAAUAAAUAAGGCUGUCUAUAUAGAACCCUUUAAAAAGCAGCAGGUCUGUUUCAUCCACAAUACAGGCUCUUUUAUAAUCCUGUUUCAAAUAUACAAACACACACGUUACGAGGUUGUGUGUGUUUGUGGAUCUACUUCUCGAAAGAAAUGUACUAUCAAAACAUUAAUUAUAUUUGAAAGGGAGACGAUUAUUUGUCUGCGAAAGAAUUACAUCCUUGAAUAUAUAUUCCGCACAGAUCUCAUCUCCUGUCUGCAACGAGGGUUGCAAUUGUAGAUCUGUCUCAAAUGAUGUACCCUAAAAUGCAGGAAGGUGUAUCACAUUACAGUUAUAGAGAAAAGGGAGAUAAUCCCUCUAUUUUACACACAACUGUAGGAUGAUCGUUAAGGGAAUGUUGAAAUCGACUUGCAGUUGCAACGGAAACAUGUCAAGAACAUGUACAUUCGUGUUCUUUACUACCGAAAACACAAUGAUUUUUAACAUAUAGACACAGGGAUGAUCCCAGUUAGUUAUUAAACACUGUAAAUCACCAGGGUUUUGGCCUACAAGUCCUGUUUAUUUUUUAAAAAAUGCCAAAAUUGACAUGCACAUUUUAGUUUAGCUUGCAAUUAAAAUCUACCAACGGUGUGAAUCAUCAAUGAUAUUUUUUAGAUUGUAGUUUAUUUACUUGGCUUUAAAUGAUUAAUAACCCGAUUAAACAGAUUUCCUCAUCUUGCUAAACUUGUGCUGCGAAUAAUAACGAUGAUGACGACUCCUUUUGAAUGCUAAAGCUGUAGCAGGGAAUCUUGAAAUCCAUUCAUCUGAGUAUAUUUUGUUCUGGUCUUUUUCAAGUACUGCUCCAUAGUCCUGCUUUUUUAGUUCUUCCGCAAAGUCAGGCCUGGUAAUCACUGAUGAGAGCCCCUAAUUCAGAUUCAGUGGCUGGAUCUUUAUUUUCAUGUUUGGGGUGACGGGAGAAGGCGAUUUGUCCCUAAAAUGUACUAAGUAGUGAGGCUAUGGGAGACCAGCCUAGCAUCUGAGCCUCAGGAGAUGGGUACUUUCCCCCUUCAGAGUGGUCCCCGGAUCAUCUUUCUUUGGCUACGGGAAAAUGCCAGCGGGGGUGAGGAGGCUGAGGAGAGCUCGCCACAUGCGUAAGGCAGACGGAGCAGCGCAGAGUGCGUUACUGUGUGUGGCUGUUUCUGGGCUGUGUUCUCUAUCCCAGUAGGGAUCUUUGGAGGAAGAAGGUGACAUGAAGAGGCACGCCUGACAGCCAAAGUGGGGGAACUGUCCGGGAGAAGGACACGUGAUGAAUGGAGAGCUGCGUGGUCACGGUGCAAAGGCAGAAUAGGACAGUGUGCUGGUACCAAAUGUCUUUUUUUUUUGUUCACUUGAACAGCACCACAAAAACUGGGGGGAGGGGAAGAGAGCUGUGGGUUGGGAGGAAGAGAUCUGUGGAGUUAGUGGCUGUCUAGAGUGUAAACACGAGCCCAUCAUCUCCCCGGGAGGAGAGGAGUCUGCUUUUGUCAAACCUGCUAGUGUCUGGAAGAUAAAGGCAAAGAGGCCGCUGGACCAGCCUGAGAUUCUGCCUUGAAAUCUGGACCCGAAAUGAUUCAAAGGACAAAAAGGGGGAAAUAAUACUAAAAUCUCCCAGGCAGACAGCUGUCCGGGGUUAAAACCGGUUAUUUGUUAAUUGCCUUGAUAUAGUAGAGAGGAAAGGCUGCCACAGAACGCGGGGGCGGGGGGCGGGGGAGGAAACGGUUUCAAACAAUAUCUGAUUCCUUUGGUAACUUGGUACAAGUCUCAAUUCAGCUACAGUCCAGGCAGCUCUGGAGGUUGUGGGGAGGCUGGAGAUGUAAAUGUUGUAACUUCUCGGAUUGCGUGUGACCCUGAGCGAUACUGCUAUGAUUUCAAUAAACACUUUAAAAUCGACUAAACUAGCUCCUCCAUCCGUCAGAAAACAUCACUUCGAGUCUCGAAUAAAAUAUUGUGGAAUAGUCUGAGCUAAACGUUGCUUUGCAAAAGCACUUUCCUUGCCAAUCUCCCAGUAACUGCGCACA